rnacentral:rRNA from 1 species
AUGGCUUGGCACUUUGACUGUAAGGGCAGACAUUCAGUAAGAAGUGCAUACCGUCUUCAGGUCCAAUUAUCCAAGCAAGAACGAAAUGGGGCACCGGGGAAUAGCUCAGAGGCUGCUGGUCAAUUCGAAAACUCAGGUGACAGUUCUUGGAGACGCAUAUGGAAAAUGUAUUGCCCAAGAAAACUGCAAAUGUUUGUUUGGAGGAUGAAACAUGAAUCGCUGGCCCUGUGUAGAAACCUGGUGAAGCGAGGUAUGAAACUGGAGAGUGAUAAAUGCUUCUUCUGUGGGAGAGCGACAUAA